AACGAACGCUGGCGGCAGGCCUAACACAUGCAAGUCGAGCGAAUGAAGUUCCUUCGGGAACGGAUUUAGCGGCGGACGGGUGAGUAACACGUGGGCAACCUGCCUCAUAGAGGGGAAUAGCCUUCCGAAAGGGAGAUUAAUACCGCAUAAGAUUGUAGUACCGCAUGGUACAGCAAUUAAAGGAGCAAUCCGCUAUGAGAUGGGCCCGCGGCGCAUUAGCUAGUUGGUGAGGUAACGGCUCACCAAGGCGACGAUGCGUAGCCGACCUGAGAGGGUGAUCGGCCACAUUGGGACUGAGACACGGCCCAGACUCCUACGGGAGGCAGCAGUGGGGAAUAUUGCACAAUGGGGGAAACCCUGAUGCAGCAACGCCGCGUGAGUGAUGACGGCCUUCGGGUUGUAAAGCUCUGUCUUCAGGGACGAUAAUGACGGUACCUGAGGAGGAAGCCACGGCUAACUACGUGCCAGCCGCCGCAGUAACAC
rnacentral:rRNA from 1 species